UGAUAGGUGAAAAAAUAUGUGCAGAAGA
rnacentral:piRNA from 1 species